rnacentral:rRNA from 1 species
UACGGAGGGUGCGAGCGUUAAUCGGAAUUACUGGGCGUAAAGCGUGCGUAGACGGUUAUGUAAGUCAGGUGUGAAAGCCCCGGGCUCAACCUGGGAAUGGCAUUUGAGACUGCAUAGCUAGGGUGCGGAAGAGGGAAGCGGAAUUUCCGGUGUAGCGGUGAAAUGCGUAGAUAUCGGAAGGAACAUCAGUGGCGAAAGCGGCUUCCUGGUCCAGCACCGACGUUCAGGCACGAAAGCGUGGGGAGCAAACAGG